AACAAUAGAAUGGCAAUUUGGGAUUCAACUGUCAUCUCAUAAAUAAUAUCAGAGUUUACAUCACGCAUUCAAACAAGGUAGUUCCGCUACGGACUACAAAACAUGAGAAAUGGCUAUGCUACCCUGCAUGCUUGCCCACGAUCACGACCACGCCUUAGUCUUCUGGAUAGUUCACGUACACGCGGUCGUUCUCCUCAUCGUACUGCCACACCAGCUGUUGGGGAUAUUACCUAUGGGUAACCCGCCCUUAAUGGGCCGGGUCACAAAAGGGGCGACUCA
rnacentral:lncRNA from 1 species